UACGUAGGGUGCAAGCGUUAAUCGGAAUUACUGGGCGUAAAGCGUGCGCAGGCGGUUUUGUAAGUCUGUCGUGAAAGCCCCGGGCUCAACCUGGGAAUUGCGAUGGAGACUGCAAGGCUAGAGUGUGUCAGAGGGGGGUAGAAUUCCACGUGUAGCAGUGAAAUGCGUAGAUAUGUGGUGGAACACCGAUGGCGAAGGCAGCCCCCUGGGAUAACACUGACGCUCAUGCACGAAAGCGUGGGGAGCAAACAGG
rnacentral:rRNA from 1 species